AUUGAACGCUGGCGGCAGGCCUAACACAUGCAAGUCGAGCGGAUGAAGGGAGCUUGCUCCUGGAUUCAGCGGCGGACGGGUGAGUAAUGCCUAGGAAUCUGCCUUGUAGUGGGGGAUAACGUCCGGAAACGGGCGCUAAUACCGCAUACGUCCUGAGGUAGAAAGUGGGGGAUCUUCGGACCUCACGCUAUCAGAUGAGCCUAGGUCGUAUUAGCUGGUUGGUGGGGUAAAGGCCUACCAAGGCGACGAUCCGUAACUGGUCUGAGAGGUGGAUCAGUCAACCGGGAACGGAGACACGGUCAAGACUCCUACGGGAGGCAGCAGUGGGGAAUUUUGGACAAUGGGCGAAAGCCUGAUCCAGCCAUGCCGCGUGGGUGAAGAAGGUCUUCGGAUUGUAAAGCACUUUAAGUUGGGAGGAAGGGCAGUAAGUCAAUACCUUGCUGUUUUGACGUUACCAACAGAAUAAGCACCGGCUAACUUCGU
rnacentral:rRNA from 1 species